UCACUUCAAAAAAAUGUAACGAACCUAGAGGGAGAGAUGGCAGAGCCACGACGCAGUACCAGAGUAGUGCAGCCACCCAAACACUUGGAUGAUUACGUGGUCCCAAAAAGGACAUCUCUGCCAAACUCGUUAGUGGGAAGCAAGCACCAGGCUGUCCCAAAUGCAGGGGAUAUUGUUAUAUAAACUCAGAGAGACUCUUUGUUAGGAUAGGAAUGAGUUAAGUCUUUAUUUUGCCUUAAUUUUCUUUGUUCUGGAACCUUUCCCCAUUCUCCCUUUUGUUUUUUCUUUAAUGAAAUUUUAGUGUUGCUGCUCUUUCUUGUUCAAUCCAAAGCUGUAAUCAGAGGUUUGGUUAUUUUCCAUUUUGAAUCAAUGCAAGUUCAUAACAAUUUGGUGCUCUCGUUGACCUUCCCUACAAAUGGGUGAAGGUGAAAUCCCUAAUACUCGCCUGAGAACAUUGGAUGCAGAUAUGAAACAGGUCCAACAACAAAUAGCUGCUCAUGACUUGAAGCUUGACACCAUCUCCGCCACUCUGCUGGAUAUUCUAACUCAACUGAGCUUGCAAUCUCAAAAUAACCACACUUCCUCUCCUAACCCAGCAAAAACCCAUGCUUCUACUACACCUCCUGGUUUUCCGACCAUGGCCUCCGCCAGUUUCCAAACUAUAGCUUCUGCUGGUUUUCCCCCAUCCACCACAACAAACUUCCAACCCCGAAACACACCACAACACCCUCUUUUCACUUCUUACCACCAAAACUCACCACCACAACAACCUUUCUUCACCACUUACCCCCCAAAACUCAUCACCACAUCAUCUCUUUAAUUCUCAGCCUAUGUUAUACCAGCAAUACACUGGGACUUACAAUCCUUUAGGCCAGUUCCAUCGUGAUAAACCCGCCCUGAUAGAUCUGUCCCGCUUUGAUGGCUCCUUUGCUGAGAGCUGGGUGUUUCAAGCCAAUCAGUUCUUUGAUAACUAUGGCAUUUAUGAAGAAUACCGUCUCUCUCUUUAUCCCUUCUAUUUUGAAGGUGAAGCCCGUGAGUGGUAUCAAUGGAUGCACAAAAAUCUCCAAAUCAUGAGUUGGAGUCAAUUUACAACGGCGUUAAUAGUUCGAUUUGGACAGAGAUUGUUGGAAACGCCAGAGAGCCUGCUAGCCAAACUUCAGAUGACCUCCACAGUAAAGGAAUAUCUGUCUCGCUUUGAGCAGCUGCUCAACCGUACCUCUGAUAUAUCUCCACCCUGGCUCCUACAUUUUUUUUACUUCUGGGCUGCGUUCAGAUAUUAAAAGUGAGGUGCUAUCAUUUAGGCCCAAGGACUUGAAUGAUGCAAUUGGGCUCGCUUUCUUGCAAGAACAAAAAUUACAAGCCCAAGUCACCAACAACCGACCCACACCACUGCCAAGGUCGCAUUACUCUCAAACCCCACUUCCUUCAAACCACUUUCAAAAGUCAAGCCCGGCUACCAUUAUUCACUCACAACCAUCUAUCUCAAUACCUCCGUCGCCGUCUUUACCAGGACUCGGCCGUCUACCCUACAAGAAACUUACACCAGUGGAGUUGCAGCGUAAACGUGAGCUUAACUUGUGCUUUAAUUGUGAUGAAAAGUACACCAAAGGUCAUCGCUGCUCUACUAGACCUCAGCUCCUUCUUCUACUGACCGACGAUGAUCCUUCAAUUGAAUCUCUCAUGGCCACCACUGAGCUUCCCUCCGAUACUACAUCACCUACAUUACCGGCAACCGAUCCAGCUGUCCCAGCCAUUAGCUAUCUUGCUCUGUCGGGUGGGUCUUUUCCAACAGCCCUCCAUUUUACUGGCACGGUUAAAGGCGUUUCUAUUCAGGUACUUAUGGAUAAUGGUAGUACGCACAACUUCAUACAUCCCCGAGUUGAUAAAUUCCUUAAAGUACCAAUUGAGGACUCGUUGAAAUUUUUUGUUAUGGUGGGCAACGGCACUCUUUUGAAAUGUUUGGGGGUGGUUCGCAGCUAUCGCUCACAAUUCAGGACCAUACACUUGUCGCUGAUUUCUUUGUCCUUGAAUUUGAAGGCUCCGAUGUUGUACUGGGCGUGGUUUGGUUGGCCACCUUAGGCCCAACUGUGACAGACUAUGCUGAGAGAAAAUUUCAAUUCCAGGUCCAAGACAAACAAGUCACUUGGUUUGGCCACUCUAGCCCACUCAUUGAGCAGGCCCAACUACAAUCCUUGAGGCGCCUUCAAACCACUAAUGCUAUAGCAUACAUGUUCCACUUAAAAUUAAUGUUGCCAUCUUCUCCUAUAAACGACCCACUUCCUGUAGACCUCUCUGCCAUUUUGGAUUCCUAUCCUGAGAUGUUUUCGCAAACAUCAACCAUGCCUCCACCUCGCCCGCAAGAUCACUGCAUACCACUGGUUCCGGGCUCCGCCCCCAUCAAUGUACGCCCAUACCGUUACCCACACUUCCAAAAAGCUGAAAUUGAACGUUUGGUCUCCGAAAUGCUGCAUUCAGGCAUCAUUCGUCCUAGUUCUAGCCCAUAUUCAUCUCCUGUCUUAUUGGUUCGUAAGAAGGAUGGCACCUGGCGAUUCUGCAUAGACUAUCGGGCUUUAAACUCCAUCACCAUCAAAGACCGUUUCCCUAUUCCCACCAUUGAUGAGUUGUUCGACGAACUCCAUGGUGCUUGUAUCUUCUCUAAAUUGGAUUUGCUGGCUGGAUAUCAUCAAAUUCGAGUUCAUCCCAAUGACAUUGAGAAGACCGCAUUUCGCACACAUGAAGGUCACUAUGAGUUCAUAGUGAUGCCUUUCGGCCUUUCCAAUGCCCCUUCUACCUUUCAAGCUACCAUGAAUGCCAUCUUUAAGCCUCUCUUAGUCGUUUUGUCCUGGUCUUUUUCGAUGAUAUAUUGAUCUAUAGUAGUUCUUGGUCCGACCAUCUUCAACAAGUAUUUGACUUAUUACGCCACAACUCUUUAAUUGUGAAGCGCUCUAAAUGCAAAUUCGGGCAGACUUCAAUUGAUUACCUCGGGCAUAUAAUUUCGUCCAUGGGUCUCCAGGUGGACCCAUCAAAGAUACAAGCAAUUGAAGAUUAGCCUCCUCCAGUAUCUGUCAAGGAAGUUCGUGGUUUUCUCGGUCUUACGGGCUACUAUAGAUGCUUUGUCAGACAUUAUGCCCAAUUGGCCUCUCCAUUAACGGACAUCCUAAAAAAAGAUGCCUUUAAAUGGACCGAGGACGAAGCUAAGGCAUUCACUACUCUGAAACAAGCCUUGAGCUCUGUUCCAGUUUUAUGUUUACCCAACUUUCAAAUUUCUUAGUUGAGACUGAUGCCUCCGGCACUGGCAUUGGUGCGGUGCUAACCCAAGAGGGCCAUCCCAUAGCUUUUUACAGUCAAAAAUUGUCACCUCGUAUGCGAGCUGCAUCCACCUAUCACAGGGAGAUGUUCGCGAUUACUCAAGCGGUGCAAAAAUGGCGACAGUAUCUGUUGGGUUGCAAGUUCGAAAUUGUCACUGACCAGCAACCGCUGAAAGCUCUUACAAACCAGGUUAUUCAAACUCCUGAGCAACAACGUUGGCUCACAAAGUUAAUUGGCUAUGAUUUCGAUAUAGUUUAUCGACCUGGGAAACUCAAUGCAGCAGCUGAUGGCCUCUCCCGCCUUCCUACCUCGCAAUUUCUCUCUCUUGCUCUUACUGAAUUUGCCCUGGUGGAUAAAUUGAAGGAGUUAAAUAGAAAACAUCCUGAUUUACUGAAUUUGCAACGCCAACUAGUCACUUAUCCUAUCGCCCUUCAUGAGUACUCCUUUCAAGAGGGGCUUCUUUUUUAUCACAACAGAUUGGUUGUCCCACAAGACCAUGUUCUCCGCAACCUUCUGCUGCAGGAAUUUCACGCCUCAAAAAUUGGCGGACAUGGGGGAGUGGCGCGUACAUUUCAUCGAUUGUCUUCAAAUUUCUAUUGGCCCGGAAUGCGAGUGGAUGUUAAAAAAUUUAUUCUUGAAUGUGAAAUAUGUCAACAGAUGAAGGACUCCUCGUCAAAACCGGCUGGCCUUCUUCAACCUAUACCUCUGCCUUCCGCAAUAUUUGAGGAGAUCUCUAUGGAUUUCAUCACCGGUCUCCCUCCUUCCCAUGGGCGCAUAGCUAUUUUGGUCAUCGUGGACCGUUUGUCCAAGUAUGGGCAUUUUUUGGCAUUACCAACCUCCUUCACAAGCCAAAAAGUUGCUGAACUCUUUGUCCAAGAGUUCAUCCGCUUACAUGGCUUUCCGACCAAAAUCAUCAAUGAUCGUGAUCCCAUAUUUUUGUCAGAAUUUUGGCAAGAGAUCAAUCGUUUACAAGGUACUUAGCUGGCCAAGAGUUCCUCCUACCAUCCUCAAACGGAUGGACAGACAGAAGCCUUGAACAAGUGUCUCGAAAUGUACUUGCGUUGUUUUAUUGCUGACUCUCCUACCCUCUGGUUUAAACUUUUGCCUUGGGCAGAGUUUUGGUAUAAUACCUCCUUUCAGCAUAGUUCCAAGAUGACACCGUUUGAAGUUGUUUAUGGUAGACCUCCUCCCACUAUCACCAGGUUCAUUGCCGACUCUUCUCACAACCAAGCAGUGGUGGAGAAUUUUAGACAACGUGAUGAGACCUUAGCUAUUCUCAAAGAUAAUCUUCACCAAGCACAAGCUAGAAUGAAAGCUCUGGCAGACAAGGGUCGUCGUGAUAUUUCUUUUGAAGUAGGUGAUUGGGUCUAUGUUCGAUUUCGUCCUUAUCGGCAGUUGUCUAUGCGACUACAACGUUAUAGCAAACUCAGUCGUCGUUUUUUUGGUCCAUUUAAAAUUCUCCAACGCAUUGGUGUUGUGGCUUACAAACUAGACCUGCCUACUUCUUCUAGAAUCCAUAAUGUAUUCCAUGUUUCGGUAUUGCGGAAGUACAUUGGGAAUCCCUCUCAACAAGUCACGCCUAUCGACCUCCUAGACCCAGCGGCUCCCUUGAUUCUUCAGCCAGAAGCGAUACUACAACAAAGGCUGGUCUCCAAAGGAGGUCAUCAAAUCCAACAAUUUCUCAUUCAGUGGACUGGUUUGCCAGUGUCUGAAGCCACUUGGGAAGACAAACACACCCUCCAAAAAAGGUUUCCUGAUCUGAACCUUGGGGUCAAGGUUCAACUUGAAGGGGAUGGCAAUGUAACGAACCUAGAGGGAGAGAUGGCAGAGCCACGACGCAGUACCAGAGUAGCGCAGCCACCCAAACACUUGGAUGAUUACGUGGUCACAAAAAGGACAUCUCUGCCAAACUCGUUAGUGGGAAGCAAGCACCAGGCUGUCCCAAAUGCAAGGGAUAUUGUUAUAUAAACUCAGAGAGACUCUUUGUUAGGAUAGGAAUGAGUUUAGUCUUUAUUUUGCCUUAAUUUUCUUUGUUCUGGAACCUUUCCCCAUUCUCCCUUUUGUUUUUUCUUUAAUGAAAUUUUAGUGUUGCUGCUCUUUCUUGUUCAAUCCAAAGCUGUAAUCAGAGGUUUGGUUAUUUUCCAUUUUGAA
rnacentral:lncRNA from 1 species